GACGAACGUUGGCGGCGUGCUCAACACAUGCAAGUCGUACGGUAAGGCCCUUUCGGGGGUACACGAGUGGCCAACGGGUGUGUAACACGUGCGUAACCUGCCCACAACUUUGGGAUAACGCUAGGAAACUGGUGCUAGUACAGGAUAUGUGCUCCUGCUGCAGGGUGGGGGUUGGAAAGCUCCGGCGGUUGUGGAUGGACACGCGGCCUUUCAGCUUGUUGGUGGGGUAGUGGCCUACCAAGGCGGCGACGGGUAGCCGGCCUGUGAGGGUGACCGGCCACAUUGGGACUGAGAUACGGCCCAGACUCCUACGGGAGGCAGCAGUGGGGAAUAUUGCACAAUGGGCGCAAGCCUGAUGCAGCAACGCCGCGUGCGGGAUGACGGCCUUCGGGUUGUAAACCGCUUUCAGCAGGGACGAAGCUUUUUGUGACGGUACCUGCAGAAGAAGCACCGGCUAACUACGUG
rnacentral:rRNA from 1 species